AGAGUUUGAUCAUGGCUCAGGAUGAACGCUGGCGGCAUGCCUAAGACAUGCAAGUCGAACGAGAUGGCCCAGUGAAAGUUGCGUGCUUGCACAAGACUAGAUCUGGAUCACCAUCUAGUGGCAGACGGGUGAGUAACACGUGGGUGACCUACCUUUUCGUUGGGGAUAACAGUUGGAAACGAUUGCUAAUACCGAAUAAAAUAUAAGAGUCGAUUUUAUAUUGAAAGGAGCCUUUAAAGCUUCGCGAUUAGAUGGGGCCUGCGGCGUAUUAACUAGUUGGUGGGGUAAUGGCCUACCAAGGUAACGAUGCGUAGCCGAACUGAGAGGUUGAUCGGCCACACUGGGACUGAGACACGGCCCAGACUCCUACGGGAGGCA
rnacentral:rRNA from 1 species